GCCUACAAGCCCUUAUCUUGGUAUAGAACAUUAUCAUCACCCCAGAGAGUUUCCUCAAGCUCUUUCUCAGUAGGUUCCCAAGCUACUCUCCAAAGAGUGAGCAAAGCUUUCCCAGAAGUUCUGCAGCAGAAUUUCCAUCGUAUUUCAAUGACCAGAGCUGAGUCAUGUGCUUGUGCUUUGAAGAUUGCUUGGUAAGCCAGUGAGCCCACUGGCAUUGGCUUAGAGAAGUCAAGAUUCAUGGGUUGGGAAGGCACCCAAAGUUCACUGGCUUCAUGGAGCAUAAUGAAGAAGAUGCCAGCUGUCUUAGCAAGGAGGAAGGGGUACAUGGUGGUUGGGUGGGAAACCAAGUCUUCAUCACAGGAAUUUACCUUGGAGGGUAUUAUGCAUUGAAUGUUUGUGUCCCCUGCAAAUUCAUAUUUUGAAAUUCUAAAGCCCAAGGUGAUCGUAUCGGAGGUGGGGCCUUUGGGAAGUGAUUAGGUCAUAAGUGUAGAGCCCUCGUGAAUGGUAUUAGUGACCGAAUAAAAGGCACCCCAAAUAACUCUCUCACCCUCUUUUUUCUGGGUGGGGAGACAAUGAGAAAAUCACUGUCUGCAGCAUGGAAAAAGAUCCUCACCAGAACCAGAUCAUGUUGGCACCCGAAUCUUGGACUUCCAGCUUCCAGAACUCUAAACAAGCACUGGCCUCAAGAUAAGCAAUAUUAAAACAAUUACAGCUCAUCCAGCUGGCAGAUGCUGAUUAACUGACCCCCUGUUUCACCAGCCACAACUACAGCUUGGAUUGGACAAGGAACUGAUUUCAGUAACUUUCUCCUGAUAAGAAGACCAGCGACCAUGGACUGCUUCUGGCCAAUUUACAGAGAUUGUGGACUCGUAUGCUUUCAUGUCCUGAAAAGACCCUUUGAUGCAUAGGGCCUAAUUAUAAUACAGUUAAAUGUUGUAUCUCCACCCCAAAGUGAACAUGGGUCAUAUGUCACAUGCAUGUGUGUUAAACACACAUGCAUCAGGACCUCCUUCAUGAAUAUUCAUAGCUUCUCCUGUAACCUGUUGAAUAUGUAUGUUUAGCCAAAACAUUUACCAUAAAUAUCUUACCUCAACCCCUCCUUCAAAGUGCUUCUCUCUGGGCUGUUGGCCAGAGGCUGUGCUUCUCAGCCUGCGGAAUGGCCACUUUGUAGGCUGUAACCCUUUGCAAUAAAUAAAACCUCCCUCUUUUCUUUUCUAAAUUUAUAUAUUGUGAUUUUUUUUUUUUUUUUUUAGCUAACAUUACAGACUUGGGGGUAGAAUGGGAACUGCCUUCCAAGACUUUGUUAUUGGCUGAAUUCUGUACCCCCAAAAGUCAUAUGUUGAAGUCCUGACCCCCAGUACCUCAGACUGUGAAUAUAUUUGGUGAUAUGGUCUGUAAAGAAGUAAAUAAGUUAAAAAUGAGGCUAUCAGGGUCAGCCCUAAUUCAAUAAGACUGGUUGUCUUGUAAGAAGAGAUUAAGACGCACACAUACACAGAGACAAGAUGACCAUCUACAAGCUAAGGAGGGAGGCAUCAGAAGAAACCAGUUCUGCUGACACCUUGAUCUCAGACUCCCAGCCUCCAGACUUGUGAGACAAUAAAAAGUCUAUUGUUUAAGCCAC
rnacentral:lncRNA from 10 species